rnacentral:rRNA from 1 species
CAAUGCCGCGUGAGCGAAGAAGGUCUUCGGAUUGUAAAGCUCUGUUGCCGGGGAAAAGGAAGGAAAGAGGAAAUGCUUUUCUUUGGAUGGUACCCGGCCAGAAAGUCACGGCUAACUACGUGCC